rnacentral:rRNA from 1 species
AACGAACGCUGGCGGCAUGCCUAACACAUGCAAGUCGAACGAAGCCUUCGGGCUUAGUGGCGCACGGGUGCGUAACGCGUGGGGAUCUGCCCUUUGCUUCGGAAUAACAGUUAGAAAUGACUGCUAAUACCGGAUGAUGUCGUAAGACCAAAGAUUUAUCGGCAAAGGAUGAACCCGCGUAGGAUUAGCUAGUUGGUGGGGUAAAGGCCUACCAAGGCGACGAUCCUUAGCUGGUCUGGGAGGAUGAUCAGCCACACUGGGACUGAGACACGGCCCAGACUCCUACGGGAGGCAGCAGUGGGGAAUAUUGGACAAUGGGCGAAAGCCUGAUCCAGCAAUGCCGCGUGAGUGAUGAAGGCCUUAGGGUUGUAAAGCUCUUUUACCAGGGAUGAUAAUGACAGUACCUGGAGAAUAAGCUCCGGCUAACUCCGUGCCAGCCGCCGCGGUAA